UCUACCUACAGUAUGGUGGUGAGGAUGUUCUACCUACAGUAUGGUGGUGAGGAUGUUCUACCUACAGUAUGGUGGUGAGGAUGUCCUACCUACAGUAUGGUGGUGAGGAUGUUCUACCUACAGUAUGGUGGUGAGGAUGUUCUACCUACAGUAUGGUGGUGAGGAUGUUCUACCUACAGUAUGGUGGUGAGGAUGUUCUACCUACAGUAUGGUGGUGAGGAUGUUCUACCUACAUAGAGGAUGUAGAUUGAACAUCCUUAUCCCUCCUCCAUUUCCUCUAUGUAGAUAGAACAUCCUUAUCCUCCAUUUCCUCUAUGUGGAUAGAACAUCCUUAUCCUCCAUGUGGACAGAACAUCCUUAUCCUCCAUUUCCUCUAUGUGGAUAGAACAUCCUUAUCCUCCAUUUCCUCUAUGUGGAUAGAACAUCCUUAUCCUCCAUUUCCUCCAUGUGGACAGAACAUCCUUAUCCUCCAUUUCCUCUAUGUGGAUAGAACAUCCUUAUCCUCCAUGUGGACAGAACAUCCUUAUCCUCCAUUUCCUCUAUGUGGAUAGAACAUCCUUAUCCUCCAUUUCCUCUAUGUGGAUAGAACAUCCUUAUCCUCCAUUUCCUCUAUGUGGAUAGAACAUCCUUAUCCUCCAUGUGGACAGAACAUCCUUAUCCUCCAUUUCCUCUAUGUGGAUAGAACAUCCUUAUCCUCCAUUUCCUCUAUGUGGACAGAACAUCCUUAUCCUCCAUUUCCUCCAUGUGGACAGAACAUCCUUAUCCUCCAUUUCCUCUUUCUACAUGGAGGAUAAGGAUGUUCUGUCUACAUAAAGGAAAUGGAGAUAUUGGUGUACAGUGUUUGUACUGGUCAAUGCAUCUAAAGCAUUAUGGUUCUACACAUGUUGUACUGGUCUAUGAAUCUAAAGCAUUGUAUUGGUCUAUGGUUCUACACAUGUUGUACCGGUCUAGCAUGUUGAUGAUCAGUACAGACUGGGUUAGAGAAAGAAGAGGGUCUGUAACUGAGUGUUGGGGUAUGGAGGGUUAUGUGAUAUCUGACUGAGCUGCUGUAUGUCUCUGUCUGUCUCAGGUGUUGAUGAUACUUGUUGCCAUUAAAGUGCCUUAAUGACUAUUCCGCCUCCUGUGGAUAUUUCCAGUGUUCUGUCUCCUCACUACAAUCCUGACAAAUUAGUAUUGGACCAUAAUGACAGCCCAAACAGCACAACCCAUCUGCACUGUUCUUCAAGUAAAUGUAUUUUUGUCAAAUGUUCCGUGUAAAUUGUUAAAGGUUGUUGUCCUUGUGGAUAUAGUUGUGCGGUUUGUUGAACUUUGCAAUCAUUUGUUUUUGUUUGACAUAUAUUUUAAAUUAAAAAAUC
ensembl:lncRNA